rnacentral:rRNA from 1 species
CCUUGGAGUUAAUCCAGUAAGACCCCUUAAAGAUGAUGAGGUUGAUAGGUCUCGGGUGGAAGCACGGCGACGUGUGGAGCUGAGAGAUACUAAUCGGUCGAGGACUUAUCCUAAA